UACGUAUGGUGCAAGCGUUGUCCGGAUUUACUGGGUGUAAAGGGAGCGCAGGCGGCGCGGCAAGUCCGAUGUGAAAACCCCCGGCUCAACCGGGGGACUGCAUUGGAAACUACCGGGCUGGAGUGCCGGAGAGGUAGGCGGAAUUCCUGGUGUAGCGGUGAAAUGCGUAGAUAUAAGGAAGAACACCAGUGGCGAAGGCGGAUUACUGGACGAUAACUGACGGUGAGGCGCGAAAGCGUGGGGAGCAAACAGG
rnacentral:rRNA from 1 species